rnacentral:rRNA from 1 species
GACGAACGCUGGCGGCGUGCCUAAUACAUGCAAGUCGAACGCAGUGGGUACGGGUGAUUCACACGUCGGUAACCUCCCCAUCAGCGGGGAUAACACUUCGAACCAGCUGCUAUACCGAUACUGAUGGAUGGACCCGCGGGGCAUUAGCUAGUUGGUGAGGUAACGGCUCACCAAGGCCACGAUGCAUAGCCGCCCCGAGAGGGUGACCGGCAACACGGGGACUGAUACACGGCCCAGACUCCUACGGGAGGCAGCAGUAGGGAAUCUUCGGCAAUGGACGAAAGUCUGACCGAGCAACGCCGCGUGAGUGAAGAAGGUUUUCGGAUCGUAAAACUCUGUUGUUAGAGAAGCGGUAUCUAACCAGAAAGCCACGGCUAACUACGUGCCAGCAGCCGCGGUAAUAC